ensembl:lncRNA
AAAGAGGUAUGGGACUGUAGGUGGAGGUAUAGAGGUAUGUGACUGUAGGUGGAGGUAAAGAGGUAUGGGACUGUAGGUGGAGGUAGAGAGGUAUGUGACUGUAGGUGGAGGUAGAGGUAUGGGACUGUAGGUGGAGGUAGAGAGGUAUGUGACUGUAGGUGGAGGUAGUAUGUGACUGUAGGUGGAGGUAGUAUGUGACUGUAGGUGGAGGUAGUAUGUGCCUGUAGGUGAAGGUAAAGAGGUAUGGGACUGUAGGUGGAGGUAGAGAGGUAUGGGACUGUAGGUGGAGGUAGAGAGGUAUGGGACUGUAGGUGGAGGUAGAGAGGUAUGGGACUGUAGGUGGAGGUAGAGAGGUAUGUGACUGUAGGUGGAGGUAAGAUGGUAUGGGACUGUAGGUGGAGGUAAAGAGGUAUGUGACUGUAGGUGGAGGUAUGGGACUGUAGGUGCGAGUAAGGACGACAAAGGCAGAAAACGGUACCAUUUACAGGGAAUUUAUUCCGUCACACAGUCAUUUUGGGGAAAAGGGGCUGGACGGAAACAAAGCAAAGAAAGUACAUAUCAAUGCCCCCUCUCCUACCUUACCUGCCUACCAUUUCUUAUAUAACUUAGCACCACCUGGUGCGCUAACCAAAGUACAGCGGGUGGUCCGCCCAGGUCUUACCUAGUGUGCCAAGAUAGUGAAUAUACUACGGGUAUAUGUAUGCCCGCGGGCCUCUUGCCUAAGCACUCCCUAGGUGCCUUCUCCUUCCUCCCUGGGAACAAAUGAAACAGAAAAAACUACUUCACAACAAAAACUGAGAAAGAACUCAGGACAUUGAAG